AUUGAACGCUGGCGGCAGGCCUAACACAUGCAAGUCGAGCGGAUGAAGGGAGCUUGCUCCUGGAUUCAGCGGCGGACGGGUGAGUAAUGCCUAGGAAUCUGCCUGGUAGUGGGGGAUAACGUCCGGAAACGGGCGCUAAUACCGCAUACGUCCUGAGGGAGAAAGUGGGGGAUCUUCGGACCUCACGCUAUCAGAUGAGCCUAGGUCGGAUUAGCUAGUUGGUGGGGUAAAGGCCUACCAAGGCGACGAUCCGUAACUGGUCUGAGAGGAUGAUCAGUCACACGGGAACUGAGACACGGUCCAGACUCCUACGGGAGGCAGCAGUGGGGAAUAUUGGACAAUGGGCGAAAGCAUGAUCCAGCCAUGCCGCGUGUGUGAAGAAGGUCUUCGGAUUGUAAAGCACUUUAAGUUGGGAGGAAGGGCAGUAAGUUAAUACCUUGCUGUUUUGACGUUACCAACAGAAUAAGCACCGGCUAACUUCGUG
rnacentral:rRNA from 1 species